GUAGGGAAUAUUGGACAAUGGGUGAGAGCCUGAUCCAGCCAUGCCGCGUGCAGGAAGAAGGCCUUCUGGGUUGUAAACUGCUUUUAUCUGGGGAUAAAAAGGCCUUGCGAGGCAAACUGAAGGUACCAGAUGAAUAAGCCACGGCUAACUACGUGCCAGCAGCCGCGGUAAUACGUAGGUGGCAAGCGUUGUCCGGAUUUAUUGGGUUUAAAGGGUGCGUAGGCGGUUUAUUAAGUCAGUGGUGAAAGACGAUAGCUUAACUAUCGAGGUGCCAUUGAUACUGAUGAACUUGAGUGCACACGAGGUAAGCGGAAUGGACGGUGUAGCGGUGAAAUGCAUAGAUAUCGUCCAGAACACCGAUAGUGAAGACAGCUUACCAGAGUGCAACUGACGCUGAGGCACGAAAGUGUGGGGAUCAAACAGGAUUAGAAACCCUGGUAGUCC
rnacentral:rRNA from 1 species